UUUUCUCCUUGGCCCAUUUGGAUGUGGCAGGAUCGGUGCUGCAGCUGGCAGAGGACUCUUCCGAAUGAGCAGAGCAGGAGAGAGAAUGCAGCUGCCGAUGGGGCGGGAGGUGGAGGAAGUACGCUUUUUAUGUUCAGCUGAUAAACUCUUGGGUUGUUCACCUUGUGUUUGCAUGUGCCCCAAUUAGUAAUUUCCAGUGGCUUGCCUAGAGGCACUUACUUACCUAGAGGCUUGCCUGUAGUCUUACCUAGAGGGUUUGUUUAUUUAUUUAUUUAUUUAUUUAUUUUGUGAUAUCAUUUUUGUAGCUUUGACUAUAGCAAGAUUUUCAAUGGAGUGUAAGUUGUGUUUUAAGGGAAAACAGUUUGAUCAUGAAGUUUGCAAAUAAUAUGCUAAAACUGAAUGAUAGGAUUACAAUGUCAUAGCGAUAUAAUGGUAAGAAAAUGUAUUUGUUUAUAUCUCUAUAUAUACAUAUAUAUGUAUAAGUGCAUGUAUAUAUACGGCAUAUUACAUAGUUAGUAGAACAUUUAGUUUGGGCCCAUGCACAGCAUCCAGUUAGCACUUACACAGCUUACCAAUGAAGGUCACAUAGUUUUGCUUUCACAGAUGUGGACCGUGAGGCUACGUAUGUUUAUUUUCACAUUUCUGGGAAGCAGAAGGGAUGGAUCUGGUCAGUGGCCUCCUCAAGCACUUGUGCAGAACAAUCACAUUUCUGAGUGUGUGCCCUGAGGAUAUUUGAAUGUUGCUACUUUUCUGUUGACUCUCUGUCUUAGUUUCCUUUCCUGUUGGCUGUGACACAACAUCCUGACCAAAGCAACACAAGGGAGAAGGACUUGACUUGGUUCCCCAUCAUCAUGUUGGAAAUUCAGUGUCAGGAGCUGGCCACAUUGCAUCUGCAGUCCACAGACAGGGAAUGGUUCCUCUCACAAUUACCACGUGUCUUCUCUAGGCAGUUUACACAGUUAAGACACUACCCACAGCAUGGCCGGAGACCCAUCUCCUGGAUAACUCUAGGUGCUGUCAGCUUGGCAAUGAGCAUUACCACAGUGAGCUGCCAUCGAGUUGCUUGAGGGUGAGGGUUUUUCUAGGAUGCUGGACUAUUCAUGCCAGAAUGACCUUGGUGGGACAUGGAGAAGAUGGCCACUGUUCCCUUGUACACUCUGGCAGAGACCAGGUAGGUAAGCACAACCUGGAAAUGACUGAACUGUCUCGUUAUCCUUCACAGUGUUCCUGUGUUCCAGUCUGAGUUGUACUGUAGGCUCCCUAUCGGAAGGAAUAGAAUAUGAGAAGACAGUGCAGAGACCUUUGAGUUCCUGUCUCCACCCGUGCUCUUCCUCGCAGUCCUUUAAAGAGAUGGAGAUGAAUUAUAGAGAAAUGCACAGAUAUUUAUGUCCUUCAUGAGCUGGCAGAGCCAUGUGACUGCAGCUCAGUGUGGGCCAUAGUGCUUGCUUUCAGCCAGAUGUUGCCACCUUGGCUUUACCUUGGUAGAUUUUAGUAUCUUGUGGGGGGGGGGGGCUUUCAUCCCUCAUGUGACCCUGAAACCUCAUGUGAACCUCAUGUGAGCUGUUCCUCUUCCACUACAGAAAGUCAGAGACUCGAAUCCAGUAUUUAGCAGUUAUCGAAUUCCGUGGAAUUAGAAAACUUAGUGAUAAAGGUGCCUGGUUUCGAAGGGCAAUUUGCUGUUGCAAAGCUUCUGCUUCUUUGGGGGGCCUCCUUCAGAUCUCAUCACGUCCUGUCGGAUGAUCUGCCUAGAGAACCUGGCCACUGAUAAGAGGAAGCCUAUUUGAUCAGGCUUUGGAAAAAUCAGAAUAAAUACCUUCAAAACUGAUUUUGUGCUCUCAUUGAACCUGAACAUUUGUUUUUUAACCAACUACUUUGCAAAUUUGGCCACUUAGUUUUGCAGUCUGUUUUGGCCUUAAACGGCUCGGGUACAGCAGAUGGGAGGUCCUGCUGUUUGCCGUGAUAACUGACUCUGGAAUGCUGUCCUUGGAAUGGCUUUCAGUGUGACGUAUUCACGCACUAUUCAUUAGCCAAUGGGGUAGGAGAGGACCCCUUCCUUAGAAGACAACUCUUCAAGACUGACCAGCCUCACCCUUUACAUGUUAACACUCUAAAAAUGAUUAAACACUCUGAGGGAGUCCUUUAAAGUGACAGCUGCUUGAAUGUUCCUGGUGGUCAUCAGAGGAAGUGGCCUCAGCUGGCGGGAAACUUUCCUUCUCACACAGAGCCAGGAUUAGCAGCAUCUGUUAUUAUUAUUAUCAUCUGUUAAACAGUGAUAUCUUUGAAUAGUUUUAGGAAUUCAGGGUUAUAUGCCUCUAUGGUAGAGGUCUCAGAUGAUGGCCUUUUAUUUAAAAUCGUGUGUGUGUGUGUGUGUGUGUGUGUGUGUGUGUAUGCUGGCUCAUGCUGUGUAUGUGCCUGCGUGUAUAUUUGUGUGUGUGUUCAUGUAUGCAGAAACCAGAGGUCAAUGUUGGGGUGUCUUCCUAAAUUGUUUUGUUAUUCUUUGUGGCAUGGAUUACUGAGCCUGUUUGACUGGCUGGCUAGCAAGUUCUAGAGAACUACCAGUCUCUCCCUCCCAAGUGCCGCUAUGGCCAUGGCUGAUUGAGAUGUGAGCUCAGGGCCUUGUGCUUGUGUGGCAAGCACUAUACUGAGGAGCCACCUCAUCGCCCCAGUUAAGCAGCUCUCAGCCCUGUUUUUCUUUCUCCUUUGGCUUUAUUUAGUGUGUCUCACUGAAUUUGGAGUUUGCUAUUUCAGCUAGCAAGACAGACUAGCUAGCAGACAAACCCUGGAGUGCGUCUGACUCAGGCCCUACAGAUGUCUGUGCACCUGGCUCUUCCAUGGGCAGCAAGGUCUUUACCCUGUUAGCCAUUCCUAGCCCUGUAUUCUUGAUAUUUUAAUUUUUUCCUGGCUCUUUCUGUGCCUC
rnacentral:lncRNA from 1 species